AUUGAACGCUGGCGGCAGGCCUAACACAUGCAAGUCGAGCGGAUGACGGGAGCUUGCUCCUUGAUUCAGCGGCGGGCGGGUGAGUAAUGCCUAGGAAUCUGCCUGGUAGUGGGGGACAACGUUUCGAAAGGAACGCUAAUACCGCAUACGUCCUACGGGAGAAAGCAGGGGACCUUCGGGCCUUGCGCUAUCAGAUGAGCCUAGGUCGGAUUAGCUAGUAGGUGAGGUAAUGGCUCACCUAGGCGACGAUCCGUAACUGGUCUGAGAGGAUGAUCAGUCACUCUGGAACUGAGACACGGUCCAGACUCCUACGGGAGGCAGCAGUGGGGAAUAUUGGACAAUGGGCGAAAGCCUGAUCCAGCCAUGCCGCGUGUGUGAAGAAGGUCUUCGGAUUGUAAAGCACUUUAAGUUGGGAGGAAGGGCAGUAAGCUAAUACCUUACUGUUUUGACGUUACCGACAGAAUAAGCACCGGCUAACUCUGUGCCAGCCGCCGCGGUAACAC
rnacentral:rRNA from 1 species